rnacentral:rRNA from 1 species
CUCGGGGCGACAGAAAUAUAAGUUAAAUUUUUGUAACUGUUUAGUAAAAAAAUAAUUUUAAUUAGUUUUUGAUCCUUUAUUAUUGAUUAGAAGAUUAAGUUACUUUAGGGAUAACAGCGA